CGCCAGUGUAGACUCCACUCUUGUUUCUUGUUUCUCUUACACUACCAAAAUUUGAUCGCGAGAAAGCUCUCGUAGUUGACCCACCUUGUAAUCAACCAGAUUGAUGAUUCCCUCUACUUCCUUCUAUGCAGCUGUUAAGUUUACUGCUGCUCAGCUGUUCCACUUCCUGAUUCUGGGGUAACAUCAGUUGUGCUUGCUGUAGACCAAAAUAUUGAUAGUAUGGGUCACUAAAAUUGGGAAGUCUUGGCUGACUAAUAUUAUGUCCAACAUGUGAGUUUGGCUGGUUCGCAACUGGGAUUCUGGAUGGAUCAGGUGCAGGAAAUGGUGGCAAGUGAUAUGCCGGAAGAGGAUAUUGAGGAGCCAUUUGUGCUGCUGCAGCUGCAUUCUGCAUUGCUGGACCUGGCAUUAGCGGUGGAUAUGAAAUUAAUGGCCGGUUCCUGCCCAUUUUCAUAUCCAUCCCCAUGCUCAUAUUCAUUCCCAUAGUUGGCAUGUAUUGCGGGAUUCCAGGAUACAUCAUAGGAACCAUGCUGCAUCCCGUGGCCAUCAUCUGUACUUGCAAUUGCAAUGAUUUAAGGUACUCAAUUGCUUCAUCCAGCAUUGAAGCUUUGUCUGACUUAUUGCAGCAAGGUAUGAGUUCUUGUAGAGCCUUCAUCUUCUCAUUUAUUCUGUCUCGGCGUUUCCUUUCAGAAAGAUUAUGGACCUCUGCUGCGCGAGAUUUCUUUGCCGAUGUAGAACUUCUUACUUGCUUCCUUGCAUCAGCAAACUCAUAUUCAACAUCCUCACUCUGACCUUCAUUGUCGUCCGAUUCUCUACUUUUCCGUUUCCGAUCAUACGCCGCCGUAUCCGCCUCCGUAUGCGACGGCUGUGGCGGUCCUGCUCUGGCGCUUACACUACCUCCUGAACCACGUGUAGAUGCUGUCAAUGCCAACUCGCAUGCCAUCGUCACUUCCCUACCGCCGCUUGUUGUCGCCAUCGACGUCGCCGUCAGUUCUCUUCCUCUGACAUUCAUGGCGGUAACUGGUGUUACAUUUUCUGAUACGCGUGCUGCUACCGGAGUCUCGUUUGAAUCCACAAUCGUCGAUGCCCUAACUGAGUGACCAGAACUCGAUGUAGUACCAUUUCGUAAAACCGCUUCACCAGACAACCGUGAAAAAUGCCCAAAAUUCUGUAAUCGAUGUGGUAAUUCACCCUCUGUACAUCUAAUCGGCCGCGAACACGGCGGAACCAGAGGCGGACGGAUCUCCACCUUCGAAGUACCAAUUUCUCCCGGCGGUGCUGCAGCGGCGGAGGUCACGGCGUCACAACUCGGUGUAGUAUUUAGAAAAUCAUCGAAGGAGGAAUCAUCAAGUGGAGAUUGAAGCCAUGAGUUCAUUUCAUCCUCUUGCAUAUACAGUGGAGCUGAAACUGCUACCGUUUGUUCUACAGCUGAUUGCUCGGGAAAAAGGUUAGAUUUCCUUACAGAUCUUUGAUUUUGGCUUUG
rnacentral:misc_RNA from 1 species